rnacentral:lncRNA from 1 species
UUGACUCUUUUUACACUCUCUCUACCUUUCUCAAAUUUUCUCCUAUUUUUUGAGAGCCAUGUUUGACUUAGGCAUUAGAGAAUCCCUUACUGGACAUGCUUCGAGGGGUGAACUUCUUUAUUUUUACUAUUUUAGGUCAGAGCUAGUAUCGAAGCAUCGAUCGGAGCUAUUCUUUCGCCAUCUAGCAUCAACUCGUGGGUGCUCCGUGCCAGAACCAUCACUUCGGAGGUAUAAAACAACCUCAUCCGAUCUCUCUGAUCUGGACGACAUGUGAGCUUAGAUCUCUAACAAUCCCAUUAACUCGAUGUCUGGGUCGGACUGGUUCCGAGCAGUAACAAUACAAAUGAACCAAGCAAUAACUAUGGUUGCUAUUCGCGAAAACAAAUGCCA